AAAGAGCGGGUCAAUUGAGCCUCGGAGUCCUUCUCCACCCACAUAUCAAUUUUAAAAAAUGCAACAUUAGUAGGCGUUGCCUGGAGGACCGAGAGGGCGGAGCCGCGGCAGUGACGAAGACGAUGGCUAACUAGACGAAGCUAGCUCCCUUCACUCUGAGCAGUUGAUAGAAGUGGAGGACGUUUCUCCCCCUCCUUACAGACACUCGAGAAGAAAGGGACCAAGUCUAUUUGGAGGAGACAAGCGGACCUGAGUCUUAUUGUUUUGAGCUUGUGAGUUGCCUGAAACUCCCAGAACCGACCCAACAGAAUCACCUCUGAAAGGUCCUCUGGUGUCUGCAGCUGGUCUCUGGUGUCUGCAGCUGGUCUCUGCUGGUGUCCUCAGGAUCAGGAACUUCCAGAAGAAUGUGCCUUUCAAUGACUCUUUCCCCCUUAUUUGUUAUAUUAAUUAAAUAAAUCUCAAUUUAUAUA